rnacentral:rRNA from 1 species
AGUGAACGCUGGCGGUAGGCCUAACACAUGCAAGUCGAACGGCAGCACAGUAAGAGCUUGCUCUUACGGGUGGCGAGUGGCGGACGGGUGAAGAAUACAUCGGAAUCUACUUUUUCGUGGGGGAUAACGUAGGGAAACUUACGCUAAUACCGCAUACAACCUACGGGUGAAAGCAGGGGAUCUUCGGACCUUGCGCGAUUGAAUGAGCCGAUGUCGGAUUAGCUAGUUGGCGGGGUAAAGGCCCACCAAGGCGACGAUCCGUAGCUGGUCUGAGAGGAUGAUCAGCCACACUGGAACUGAGACGCGGUCCAGACUCCUACGGGAGGCAGCAGUGGGGAAUAUUGGACAAUGGGCGCAAGCCUGAUCCAGCCAUACCGCGUGGGUGAAGAAGGCCUUCGGGUUGUAAAGCCCUUUUGUUGGGAAAGAAAAGCAGCAGGUUAAUACCCCGCUGUUCUGACGGUACCCAAAGAAUAAGCACCGGCUAACUUCGUG